rnacentral:rRNA from 1 species
AUGGGACGUGGCGCGGGCGGCGUGGCCCAGGGGGUCGGCCUCCUCCUCCCCUACGGUGGCGCGCCGCCUCCGCCGUCGGCAGGAGGGGGCCGCGGUGGCCGCCGCGCAGCCCGACCAGGAGCUCCCCGGCGAGCAGCCGUUCCCCUACGAGAAGAAGGGCAAGAAAUUAGUUUUUGUAGGAAGUCGAGAAGGCAGUAUUCAAAGAAAUUCAAAACACUUGGCCUUGAAGUUACUGAGGAAGAGAUCUUCACGUCAUCAUUUGCAGCAGCCAUGUUCUUGAAGUUAAAUAAUUUUUCUCCAGAAAAGAAGGUGGCUCAGUCUGAUUGA